AUUACAAAUGGCGAGUUUUUCUCAUUUGGAAUAUUUGGAUUACGUUACAAAUUCUUCAACCGUUGAACAACCACAAAGACUUCGCAAACCCUGUAAAAAGAACAAUUCUUAGCGCAUUUCCGUUUCCAUUGCGUGACGUGAACAAUUUUCAGAGAUAAGUAAUUUAAU